rnacentral:rRNA from 1 species
UACGGAGGGUGCAAGCGUUAUCCGGAUUCACUGGGCUUAAAGGGUGCGUAGGCGGGCAGGUAAGUCAGUGGUGAAAUCUUCGAGCUUAACUCGGAAACUGCCGUUGAUACUAUCUGUCUUGAAUACCGUGGAGGUGAGCGGAAUAUGUCAUGUAGCGGUGAAAUGCUUAGAUAUGACAUAGAACACCAAUUGCGAAGGCAGCUCGCUGGACGAAUAUUGACGCUGAGGCACGAAAGCGUGGGGAGCAAACAGG